AUUGAACGCUGGCGGCAUGCCUUACACAUGCAAGUCGAACGGUAACAGGUUAAGCUGCCGAGUGGCGAACGGGUGAGUAAUGUAUCGGAACGUGCCCAGUCGUGGGGGAUAACUGCUCGAAAGAGCAGCUAAUACCGCAUACGACCUGAGGGUGAAAGCGGGGGAUCGCAAGACCUCGCGCGAUUGGAGCGGCCGAUAUCAGAUUAGGUAGUUGGUGAGGUAAAGGCUCACCAAGCCGACGAUCUGUAGCUGGUCUGAGAGGACGACCAGCCACACUGGGGCUGAGACACGGCCCAGACUCCUACGGGAGGCAGCAGUGGGGAAUUUUGGACAAUGGGCGCAAGCCUGAUCCAGCCAUGCCGCGUGCGGGAAGAAGGCCUUCGGGUUGUAAACCGCUUUUGUCAGGGAAGAAAAGGUUCUGGCUAAUACCUGGGACCCAUGACGGUACCUGAAGAAUAAGCACCGGCUAACUACGUG
rnacentral:rRNA from 1 species